rnacentral:rRNA from 1 species
AUUGAACGCUGGCGGCAUGCCUUACACAUGCAAGUCGAACGGUAACAGGUCUUCGGAUGCUGACGAGUGGCGAACGGGUGAGUAAUACAUCGGAACGUGCCUAGUAGUGGGGGAUAACUACUCGAAAGAGUGGCUAAUACCGCAUGAGAUCUACGGAUGAAAGCAGGGGAUCGCAAGACCUUGUGCUACUAGAGCGGCCGAUGGCAGAUUAGGUAGUUGGUGGGAUAAAAGCUUACCAAGCCGACGAUCUGUAGCUGGUCUGAGAGGACGAGCAGCCACACUGGGACUGAGAGACGACCCAGAGUCCUACGGGAGGCAGCGGUGGGGAAUUUUGGACAAUGGGCGCAAGCCUGAUCCAGCAAUGCCGCGUGCAGGAUGAAGGCCUUCGGGUUGUAAACUGCUUUUGUACGGAACGAAAAGCCCUGGGUUAAUACCCUGGGGUCAUGACGGUACCGUAAGAAUAAGCACCGGCUAACUACGUGCCAGCCGCCGCCGUAACAC